GUCCACGCCGUAACGAUGGGUGCUAGACGUUGGCGAGCUUGCUCGUCAGUGUCGCAGCUAACGCGUUAACCACCCGCCUGGGAGUACGGCCGCAAGGUUGAAACUCAAAGGAAUUGACGGGCCCGCACAAGCGGUGGAGCAUGUGGUUCAAUUCGACGCAACGCGCAGAACCUUACCAGCCCCUUGACAUGUGACUCGCCGGGACCAGAGACGGUCCCUUCGGUUCGGCCGGAGUCAACACAGGUGCUGCAUGGCUGUCGU
rnacentral:rRNA from 1 species